rnacentral:lncRNA from 1 species
CCUAUUUGAACCCAACCCCAGACUCGGACCAACUUCAUGAGUCCGGGUCGAAACCAAUUAGCACAGACCGGAUCCAUUUACACCCUUACUUAUUUUACACAAAAAAAAUUGCAUCUCUUGAUUGAUGGGCCCAAGGUCCAGCCCAUGUAUUCUUCAUAUAAUAUUAAUAAAACUUCACAUCCGUCAUUUUUCUGAGGACCUAAACCUAAAGAGUAGUCAUCACGACGGUCGUUGCCAGUGUCUACGACGUCUGCUAUGCUCGACAGAUAUUCUCCGAUGGGCUUGGCUCCCUUUUGCAUGUUGGUGCAACUGUAUUUAUUGUAUCUUUUUUCUUCUAACAGACAGAAAAUCGAAGAAUCAAACAAAUUAAUAAAACUACCUCCACGUAUAGAAGAUGGUAAGUCUAUCAAAUGUUUUAAAAAACAAAACUUUAAACAGAGAAAUAUUUUAAACAGAACUUCCCCACGUAAUGAGUUUUUUACAAUGAUAAAAAAAAAACAGAACUUUCAAAUGAUAAAAAUUGAAACAUAGAGGAUGAUAAAAAUUGAAACAGAACUUUUAGAAUAUAAACUCACCAUUUUUCACCAAGAACAUAAAAGUAAAUCGAAGUAUGUAAUAGAAUUCACCGGAGAGAGGAUUGUGAUUCACCAAGUCUGCCAGAACUCACUGUCCUUACUGCGCUUGCCGGAAGAUGAAGAAGUCGCGGUCGCCGCUGCUGCCUGCCUGCCGGAACGGAAUGCGAGAAAUCGGAACGAUUGGUUUUGGGAGAAAAUAAAAAUCGGAAGGGAGGGUUGGGGUUUAAAGAUUUGGG